CUGACCUGUUUGCCGGUGCUGACCUGUUUACUGGUCCGCUGGAAGAACGGCUGCACGUGCCGGUAUGUCUCUGACAGAGUUCCACUGCUGGAAGAAAGAAGUACUGAGAACUACCAAGCAAUUGGCAGGAAUUGUUUUAAAUCUGCAUUCCUGAGAGAGCAUAUCAUCAGGACAGAAGAUGCAAUGCACAUGAUUAAAUAGGCACUCUUCUCUCAGACAUCCUUGAAAGACAUCUGGGAAGUUUAUCGGUACGUUUUCCAUGCCUCGCGAUGUGAUUCUGUGCUGCUUCCACUGGAUUACUUUUAAAGAUGAAUCCAAAGGCAGGUUUUUGGUCCUGACUCAGCAGUGUGGCUUUGAGCGAAUCCCUCUCUUUGCACAUCUCUUACACCAAAGUGAUGCUGACACCCCACGGAGGUGAC
ensembl:lncRNA